rnacentral:rRNA from 1 species
GACGAACGCUGGCGGCGUGCUUAACACAUGCAAGUCGAACGGAAAGGCCCUGCUUUUGUGGGGUGCUCGAGUGGCGAACGGGUGAGUAACACGUGAGUAACCUGCCCUUGACUUUGGGAUAACUUCAGGAAACUGGGGCUAAUACCGGAUAGGAGCUCCUGCUGCAUGGUGGGGGUUGGAAAGUUUCGGCGGUUGGGGAUGGACUCGCGGCUUAUCAGCUUGGUGGUGGGGUAGUGGCUUACCAAGGCUUUGACGGGUAGCCGGCCUGAGAGGGUGACCGGGCACCAUGGGAAUGGGGGAGGGCCCAGUGGGCAACGGGGGGCAAGAGGCGGGAACAUUACCCAACGGGCGGAAGCCUGAUGCAGCAACGCCGCGUGCGGGAUGACGGCCUGCGGGUUGUAAACCGCUUUCGCCUGUGACGAAGCGUGAGUGACGGUAAUGGGUAAAGAAGCACCGGCUAACUACGUG